rnacentral:rRNA from 1 species
CAUACGGGUGGCAGCCGUGGGGCAUAUUGCACAAUGGAGGGAACUCUGAUGCAGCGACGCCGCGUGAGUGAAGAAGUAAUUCGUUAUGUAAAGCUCUAUCAGCAGGGAAGUAAGUGACGGUACCUGAAAAAGAAGCUCCGGCUAAAUACGUGCCAGCAGCCGCGGUAAUACGUAGGGUGCGAGCGUUAAUCGGAAUUACAGGGCGUAACGGGUGUGCAGGCGGCUGAGUAAGACAGAUGUGAAAUCCCCGGGCUUAACCUGGGAACCGCAUAUGUGGCUGCUUGGCUAGAGUGCGUCAGAGGGAGGUGGAAUUCCACGUGUAGCAGUGAAAUGCGUAGAUAUGUGGAAGAACACCGAUGGCGAAGGCAGCCUCCUGGGACGCAACUGACGCUCAUACACGAAAGCGUGGGGAGCAAACAGGAUUAGAUACCCUAGUAGUC